GAACGCCAUCGAGCUGGGCCUGCUGGAGGUGCUCCAGAAGGACCCCGCGGCGGCGCUGUCGCCGGAGGAGGUGGUGGCGCGGCUCCCCGUGGCGCCGGCCAACCCCGACGCGCCGGUGAUGGUGGACCGCAUGCUGCGGCUGCUCGCCUCCUACGACGUCGUGAGGUGCCAGAUGGAGGACAAGGACGGCAAGUACUCCCGCCGGUACGCCGCCGCGCCGGUGGGCAAGUGGCUCACCCCCAACGAGGACGGCGUCUCCAUGGCCGCGCUCGCGCUCAUGAACCAGGACAAGGUCCUCAUGGAGAGCUGGUGAGUGUGCCUUGGUUAAUUGAUCAUUGCUCUUCGAUUAACUUUUUUGUUGAUGCAUGAGCUGAUCGAACAAUCGAUUUAGUUUUGUUUUCUUCACUUUUUAACACAUAAUAUGGUAGUUGCUGUAAAUUUCAAGUACAAGCAUGCAUAUGAUAGUUAGGUUAUCCUUAAUAUUUCUCUGAAUACAAAAAUAUUUUCUGAAAGAAAGGAGAAUCAAGUUUUUCUUUUAAAAAAAUAGGAAAGAAAAGUAAGCAGGCGCCAAAGUUGUCUCCACUCUCCAUUAGGUGAGACUUUUGGGAACCUUGGAGAAGGAACAUCAUGGACCAGCUCCAUCCCUUUCUAAAAUCUGGAUUAUUUGACGGCUCAGAUGGUUCAAGAAUUUCUCCCAAUCCCACCACGAGGAUUGGAAAAUGAUCCCUGCUGUUAUUUUUUAAAAUAAAAAAAGGAUAAAAUCAGGUCCGUGCUGUUAUGGACUGAGCCUCUGGGCCACCAACUGAAGCUGAAUUUUCAGACAGCCAAACUGGUUGGUGUGUGUGAUAUGGACCACAGGCCACUGACUAGUAGCAUUUGGCAUAUCGGCUGAUGCUGAUAGAUUCUUGCCCUGUUCCUUCUAGACAUCAGUAGCAGUAUCUUCAGUUUGGCAAAUCUUUCAAAAUGUUCAUACUGGUCGGUGGCUUCAGACCUUUUACAGGGCACUAUGGCAGUACACCCCAAUUGGUCAUUGCUCUGGAUAGCACUGUAUGCAUUGCUACAAGUAGCAGUUACUAAAAUGAAACAUAGGCACAUCGAAGACACAUCGCAUCGAACCAGAAAUCCAUAUGAAUGAAAAAUCCAUCAAAUUCAUUCUUCAGACUAUAUAAUUUCUAUCUUUAUCAUGAAUCAGGUACUACCUGAAGGACGCUGUUCUGGAGGGCGGCAUCCCGUUCAACAAGGCGUACGGCAUGACGGCGUUCGAGUACCACGGCACGGAUCCUCGCUUCAACCGCGUGUUCAACGAGGGCAUGAAGAACCACUCGGUGAUCAUCACCAAGAAGCUCCUCGAGUUCUACACGGGCUUCGAGGGCGUGGGCACCCUGGUCGACGUCGGCGGCGGCAUUGGCGCCACCCUCCACGCCAUCACCUCCUGCCACCCGCAGAUCAAGGGCGUCAACUUCGACCUCCCCCAUGUGAUCUCCGAGGCGCCGCCGUUCCCCGGCGUGCAGCACGUCGGCGGCGACAUGUUCAAGUCGGUCCCCGCCGGCGACGCCAUCCUCAUGAAGUGGAUCCUCCACGACUGGAGCGACGCCCACUGCGCGACGAUCCUCAAGAACUGCUACGACGCGCUGCCGGCGAACGGCAAGGUCAUCAUCGUCGAGUGCGUCCUCCCGGUGAACCCGGAGGCUACCCCCAAGGCGCAGGGCGUGUUCCACGUCGACAUGAUCAUGCUCGCGCACAACCCCGGCGGCAAGGAGAGGUACGAGAGGGA
rnacentral:lncRNA from 1 species